rnacentral:lncRNA from 1 species
ACAAAACAAAGGAAAGAGUGAGGAAAGCAACAGUAUAGCAGUAGAUCAAUCCCAGGUCCAAAGAUUGAAUUCUCCAGGAAUGAAACCAAUGAAAAAUGAUCCCAAAACAGCUUGGCCCAGAAAUUUUAAAUAAAUUCAACCUCAAACUACUUUGAAAUCUACGCAACUUUAGAUUUUCUUCAUCUAUUAAUACACAAAAAACUCCAAAGCUCAAAAUUAUGUCUCAAUGGAACAGUGAAAAGAGAAUCACCGACUCCAAUUUUCACUCUAUUCUUGUAGCCUUUUUUCCUUUAUUAUUCAACUUCUAAAAACCUUUCCUUUUUCAUUGUGUAUUGUUCUAGACUUUUUUUCUCUAAACCUUUAAAGUAGCAGCUUUGUUUUCUGGACAUUUUAGCCUCU